AAGCGCCCGCGACCAGACCUGCCCGGUUUUUUGGCCCAGGCGUUCUCGCCUGGGUUUUACUGCCGGAUAGGCCAGCAUCGGUUUUGGCGGGGGGACAAAGACGGCGGGAAUGUAGCUCCUCCGGGAGUGUUAUAGCCCAUCGUGUAAUGCCUCCGCCGAGACCGAGGACCGCGCUUUUGCAAGGAUGCUGGCAUAAUGGUCGUCGGCGA
rnacentral:rRNA from 1 species